AGGCCUUAAACUAAUGAGUAAGGGGAAAAAAAGCGAGUGGUGGGAGAUGUUCGUUGCGCUCAUUAAUUUGCUAUGCGCACACAUUUAUGGAGGGCUAGUAGGCUGGUCGAGUGUUGACGCUGCUUACUUCGUAGAAUUCACUCGUGAAGGCCUAAUAU